AUGUCAUUAUUAUAUAUUGACAUAUAUAAUAUGUCAAUAUAUAUGUGUGUGGCAUAUUUUACAAUAGUAAAUUUUCUUUUUUCAUGUCUAUCAAGAAAUCUAAGACUUGGCUGUAUCUUGAUCAACAUUUUUGUGGAUGAAAAAGCUGAAACUUCAUUCAAGAUGAUCCAGCUGACAAAAGAAAAAAAAAAGGAAACACAAUCAGAAGCAUAUGCGAUGUUCUUUGUGUCCUCCAAUGCCAUGAAGCCUGUAGUGGACUUGGAGUGGUGGCCACGUCUUAGGGCGUGGCUUCAGAUGUGUCCUUAUAAGGAAGAGGAGGGGCUGGCUCGCUGUCUCUUGGGUUGUGGUCAGAGCAUCCUGAAGGGCAGAGGCUGCAUCACCAGGAGCAGGAAGACUGAGACGGUUAUUUACCAUCAUUGUGUGAGUGCUCCCCAAAUAAAUACCUGUUAAUUCUUUAUCUGGGUAUUUGUGGACUCCUUUAAACCCACAUUUACUAAGCCACACCCUAAGGUGUGGCCACACUCCCUGUCUACCCGCAAUACUAGAUGCCACUACAGAAACCCAACAAGCAGCUCCCAGGUUGCUCUGCAUGUAGAACUCUUUUUGUGACAUCUUUUUAUUUACAGAAUUAUUUGCUUUUUAUGUAUCUGUGUAUGUGCACCACUUGAGUGCAGGGCCCACAGAAGACAGAAGGGGUGUCAUCAGAUCCCCUGGAGCUGGGGCUAAGUUCUAAGUUGCUCAAUAUGGGUUCUGGGACCAGAGCUCAGGUCCUCUGGAGGAACAGUGACUACUUUUAUCCACUGAGCCGUCAUUUCUCAGCCACACAGCAUUUAUUUUCUAUGAGAGAUACAAACACUCCCAUGUUGUCUACACAGACUCUGGCUCGCUCACACAUUCUUAUGACUAUGUCCUCAGCUGAGAGCAUUAAGCCUGAUUAGGAACACAUUGCAGUUGGAAUUUAUCUAUAAUUAACACUAUAUCUUAGAGUAGAUCUAAGUUCCUUAGCCAUUGGGAGGAUCUUGGGAUAACUAUUAUUAAAGGUUUUUGUCUUGAGACCCUUAUAGUCCAUGAAUACUCUAUAGCAUUACACCUCUGGUAGAUAUGAAAUGAAUUCAAGCAAAACCUUAAUUAUAAAUAAAGGAAAUUAUUUUGGUGGCUCA
rnacentral:lncRNA from 1 species